UCAAUCUGUGACAUCUUUUUGGAUGACCCCCCAACUGGGAAGAUCACCUUCAAGUCUCCUACAGGGCUAUUCAGGACAUUUCCUGUCUCGGCUUUCGAGCUUGAUGGACCAGAUGGUGGCAAGACUGUGGAGGAACACCAGGACGUCCCGGAAGCUGUGGAAGUCUAGGCUCUCACUGCUAUAGAUUUCAAGGUGUAUGAUCUGUUUUAGUACUACUACCAUAGCCCAGAAGAAGGCUUUGGCUUUUAUUUUCAGGGUCUAUUUUGAUGAUCAUAUGUAAUGCUGUUGUUUUCAAGUACUUUUACUAGUGCUAUUACCUUCGUAUGAAAUUAAAAUUUACAUUUCCCUAGUGCUAUCUGUUCUAUGUUUCUACCAGUUUUUUUUAUUUAUUUUAAUUUUAUUUUUGUUUCUAUCUGGUUCCGUGUAGUGAAAAACGGCAUGAGAUAUGUAAGGUCUUUUUCAGGGUUUGGAAAAAGUAUUGUGUUUUGAAUCGGUCCAUCUUCAUGAGUCACAUUCUUUACAUGAAGAGGGUUUAAAACUUAAAACCUAAAGCUGUGCUGCAAAUUGAGAAAGAGAAGUGCUUGCCUUCCAUCUUUACCCAGAAAAUGAAAAUGAGAGGUGCUUUCUUCUCUUUUGGUUCUAUUGCCAUUCACUUUUUCAGGACCUUAUUUGCCUAUUUGGUGUUUGAUGCUCGGCCCUUACAAGGAGUUCUAUUGAUUACUUACCAAAGCAUAUUAACGGUUUAGAAACUACAUUGCACUCACUGAGUUGGCAGAAGAAGUUUCGCAUGAAGGGUGUGAUGUUGUUGUUUUUUUUUUUCCUUUCAUUCUUUUUCUAGCUUCAAGGAUGAUAAAUGACAUCUACCCUGAAGUAAAUCAGCUGUGCCCAAAAAUCCCAGUGCCAAACUUGUGCCACCACUUUAAUCGCGACACGUGUUCUAUCACUUAACAGGAGAUUAACUCUGUUAAAUAAUUAAUAUAUACUUUAGUAUUUCUAUUAAAAUAUAAAGAUAACAAAAGAAAAGAAAAAGAGUCUCCGUAUUGCCUCUUCCUCUCCAGACCAGCCGAGAGACCUUCCCUAACUGCAAAACGAAGGCCUCUUCCUCUCCUCGCCAUGUGCUUCUGCUUCAUAACUCAUGACUUUGGCCAUUGAUGGUCUUUGUCUCAGAUCCACACAACAUGUCUUCAGUGAUCAUAAUUUUACAACUGCGAACAUCAUGGCGAUGAACAACUGAAUGAGAGGCUUCCAAACGAGGCUGUGAUUUAGGCGUUUAGUGUGGCAUUGGAAGAAUGAAAAGUACGAAUUGGAUGGGUAUUCUAAAUUUCUUACCCAUCUUCGUAAAUAAUGGAUUAUUUGAACUGGAUACAAUUUCUUUUUUCGAGUCUCUAGCUCUUUCUCCUCAUUUCGAUUUGAUUUGGGAUUUGAAUUUUGGGGAUUCACUGGUUUUAAAGUGUGAUUGGGUUUUUUUGUGGUGAGCAAUAGAAUGAAGAUGACGCAUAAGCAGAUGGGGUUUGAUUUGGGAGUCAAUUGCAGGUUUUUCUGGGUUAGGAGAAACUAUUUUGCAGAGGAAAAGAAAGAAGGAGAAGUGAAUGCAGGAUGAUGAGAAUGCAUAGUUAUAUUUUUUUAUUAAAAGACUCAGCUAGCAGAAAAGGCCGCGCUCGUGUUUACGUUUUUCUUUUUCUUUCUGCACUAAUAUGCAGUUUUCUUAUGAUUUUUGUUUGCAAACUUUUUCUUAUAUCACUAUUAUCAACAGUUUACUUUAAACCAUUUAUGGUAUCUGGUAUGUACAUAUGUCACGUACAUACACUAAAAGAUUCUAAUUCGUAUUUGAUCUACAGAGUUCAAACAAAUAAUGACACUUUUACAUACUUUUGAUACAUGUAAUUUCCACGCUUAAAAAGAACCAUAUUAAGACAAUAAUAAAUUCUGACCAAAUACAUGAACUCAGAAUGCAGACCAAAUAAAACUUUGAAGUUGCAAUGUACUUUACAAUGUAAUCGCAUAUAUACUUUGUAUUAGACCAAGCUAUAGCUUUCCAUACUCCAUAUUACAAUCAGACACUUCAAGUAAUAUUUUAUAAACAUUACUGAAUUUCUAUGAAGAAGCUAACUGCAUAAAAACAUGAUCAAUAUCUUACAAAAAUAAUGCAAGCUAUAAGUUCAUUAGUUUUCAUAUUGUCAUUAUUAACAGAAUCAAUAAAAACAAUUAGAACUAAAAGAUGAACUCACGGUACUUCCAUGAAUGUACACAAUAUACAAAAACGUAAUCAAAUUUAGAUAACCUCGAUCCUUCAAAUGGAAAUGCUUGAUCUUUGAUGCCUAUAAAUUAUGCUUCGCAGUUAGUAAAAUACAGAUUAUGCCUAUAUAUUAUGUCUGAAACGAAAAAAAUAAAAGACUAAAAGCAACUACUAACAUAAACAUAAAAAACUUAAUAGCUAAAAGCCAGUAAAAUACCUUUCAAUGAAAAUAAAUUAAGAGGUCUAGUGCCUCCAUCUCAAGUCUUAUGUUUGCAUUGAUUAUGAAUUGGUAAAAUCAUUGUCCUCGUCCUCUACUCUGAUAUUAAAAUUAUCCAAAAGUAAGAGAUACAAAUAUAUGAUUUCCACGACUUUUAACCAACUUUAAUUUUCAAAUUUUGACAAAAAAAAAAAGGAUUUUAGAGAACAAUAUUGGUAAUUUGUACCAAAAAUAAUAAGUGAAAAUUAUAUUUAGUUGGGACAAAAUCUAUCAAUUCACGAACUUGAUAUAAUGACAAAGGAAUCAACAAACUCCAAUCGGUGAAACACUUAUCCAUGCCACAUAUAUGCAUUCGUAAGACACCAUUGAAGUAUUGAUCAGUGGUUGGUGUUUGUUAAACAAAAAGAAACUUUUAAUGAAGAAGGAAGAGAGGAUUAGUGAAUCUAGACUUCAGUAUUAUAAACUAACAGAGAGCAGAGAUUGUCAACUAUUUUAAAACACAGACUAUAAUUAAAUUACCAAACCUCAACUAUUUAAAAAAACGAAAACCUCCUUUACGACCAAUAAAAAGAGAAGAAAAAAUACCUCCAAAACCAACCAUCUUCUUGCAAUCUUCGAUCAAAGCAAUUCAUGUAUUAAGAUUGUCGACCGAAACCAAAUUCCUUGAAAUCCCUUAUAGAAUAUCUUUGUUCACAUCUUUAUCUUUCGAAUAUAAUAGGAACUGUCUUCUGUCCCGUUUGCCUUGGUUACUUGGAACCAACUAACUUAAUCAUCUCUUCAAUAUACCUGCAAAAUUCAGGAAUUAAAAACUACAGUACAUAGUAGUUGUGCAAUUGUAUAGUCAAGAACGCAUUGACGCAGUUCCUCAUCAAUGGGCCCGAAUCAAAACUGGCAAAACUAAACUUGUAUAGCCGAUUUGAUCCGACCUAACCAACAUGUGUGACUGAUUUCCUUGAUCUUCGUAUAUAGUAGUUCAACCGACUUUCUGAGAGAGUGAAUUGAAUUUGAGUGAGAGUUUUUUUUUCUUUUCCGGUGAUCCAAAUUUGAGUGGGAGUGGAUAACUUCUUCCUUAAAACGUGGUUGGAGGUUUUCUCAAACAGUUGGAGCAUAUUCUGAUUUGUAGUUUCCCUUAUAUACCCUCAAUUUAUUAAAUUGUGUCUAGCAGGUUUAAUUAAAGAGAGGGAUAAUUAUUGGGAUUUCUGAAAAUUUAACAAUUGACGGUUCCAAAUUGGCUUAAUUAAUAUUAAUAACGAUGGAGUUAAACUUUGUUAAGUGUAGAGACAAGUGUCGCAAUUUAAGUGGUGGCACAUGUCUGACAUAGGGUUUUUGGGACAGGUGAUGUGCUUCCCAUCCACCCAAUUUGGAGUAGCCCAAAUUUAAUGAUACUUAUGUUUUGAGUUUUCAAGAAGCCUUCUCCUCCAGAUAAAAGUGUAAAAAAUCAUGUUUUUUUAGAACAAUACGACAAGAUUUAGUUAAUCAUUCUAAUGCCACAUUUGGAGACAUGUUAAAAAACAUUGAUACGCUAAGUUAUCGAACCUUCCAUGAUCGAUUAAUGUAAGAAUCAUGGGAAGAUGCCGACUUUAGGGGGAGUUUCACACAUACAUGUCAUUAUCAAAUAUGAAGGGUGUAGUUGUGCUUUUCUUCCCUUAGAUUAAGACUUUAGUUCCAUAGGGUUUUUAUUUUGCAAAGUUUUUAACAAGACAACACCAUGUGCAUCAUUUGACAGUUAAACGAGCGACACAAGGGGGAGUGUUAUAGAAUAACUCACUUUGUGUGUGCCUUGGUCUAAUGCUAAUAAGAAUAAGAAUUCCGAUUGUGUAAUGAUAGGUUUACUAGAUAAAAUACGCUUAUGUUUUUUUCUACAUACUUAAAAGAUAUUAUAUAAUCCUCUAUAUAUAGAGGCUUCUAUUUAUGAAUAAAAAUGAUGUUUCUCCGAUCUACUUUGAUAUUUUUAUUUUUAUUUUUUCCUCCGAUCUACUUUGGUAUCUCUCGGGUCUCUUUCAACACAGUUGUGAUAUAGGAGGUCAAAAGCGGAGUGGCAUUUUGGAUAAUUUGGAGAAUCCACAAGGGCAAACUUCUAACUCCCUAGCUAUAUAAAUCCCCACUCUCGACGCAAUUCUCAUCAUCACCUUUGUUCACACUUUUGAACACAAGUACCAAGCUUCACAACAAUGUCUAUUGUAACUGAUGAGUUGAGAGCCAAGGCUGAUGAGCUCUAUCAUGGUGAUGCUAUCUGCCAGGAGAAGUCAAAGUUCUUGCUAACUGAGAAGGGACUCCCCAAUGGGCUCCUUCCCAUGAAGGACAUGGUGGAAUGUGGCUACAUCAAAGAGACUGGCUUUGUUUGGCUCAAGCAGAAGAAGAGCACCACCCACAAGUUUGAGAAGGUUGGGAGGCUGGGAAGCUAUGCAACUGAGAUAACAGCCUAUGUUGAGAAGGGCAAGAUCAAAAAGCUGACUGGUGUCAAGACCAAGGAGCUCAUGAUCUGGGUGUCACUCAGUGACAUCUACUUGGAAGAUGGUGGGAAGAUCACCUUCAAGUCCCCUACAGGGCUAUCCAGGACAUUUCCUGCCUCGGCCUUCGAGCUUGAUGGACCAGAUGGUGGCAAGGUUGUGGAGGAGCACGAGGACGUCCCGGAAGCUGUGGAAGUCUAGGCUCACUGCUAUAGAUUUCAAGGUGUAUAUUCUGUUUUUAGUACUACUACCAUAGCCGAGAUGAAGGCUUUGGCUUUAUUUUCAUGAUCUGUUUUGAUGAUCAUAUGUAAUGCUGUUGUUUUCAAGUACUCCUACCAGUGCUGUUAUCUUCAUAUGUAAUAAAAUUUACAUUUCCUGUUAUAUGUAGUUUAUGUUGUGAAAAAAGGCAAGAGAUAUGUAAUGUCUUUUUCAGGGCUUGGCACAAGUGUUGUGUUUUGAAGUGGUCUAUCUUCAUUCUUUACAUGUAGAGGGUUAGAACUUGAGACGGGGUUUCAAAUUGAGAAAGAGAAGUGCUUUCCUUCCAAAUUUAACCUAGAAAUUGAUAAAGAUAGGACCUUUUGGUUUUUGAUGC
rnacentral:lncRNA from 1 species